rnacentral:rRNA from 1 species
CCUACGGGCGGCAGCAGUGGGGAAUAUUGGACAAUGGGGGAAACCCUUAUCCAGCGACGCCGCGUGAGGGAAGAAGGUUUUCGGAUUGUAAACCUCUGUCAGUGGGGACGAAAAUGAAGGUAACCACGGAGGAAGCCACCGCCAACUACGUGCCAGCAGCCGCGGUAAUACGUAGGUGGCAAGCGUUGUCCGGAAUUACUGGGUGUAAAGGGAGCGUAGGCGGGAUGGCAAGUCAGAAGGGAAAAUUAUGGGCUCAACUCUUUACCUGCUUUUGAAAAUGGUAUUCUUGAGUGACGUAGAGGCAAGCGGAAUUCCUAGGGUAGCGGUGAAAUGCGUAGAUAUUAGGAGGAACACCAGUGGCGAAGGCGGCUUACUGGGCUUUUACUGACGCUGAGGCUCGAAAGCGUGGGGAGCAAACAGGAUUAGAUACCCCUGUAGUC